rnacentral:rRNA from 1 species
GCUUGCUUCUUGGGUGGCGAGUGGCGAACGGGUGAGUAACAUAUCGGAACGUACCGAGCAGUGGGGGAUAACUAAUCGAAAGAUUAGCUAAUACCGCAUAUAUUCUGAGGAAGAAAGCAGGGGACCAUUUGGCCUUGCGCUGUUUGAGCGGCCGAUAUCUGAUUAGCUAGUUGGUGGGGUAAAGGCCUACCAAGGCGACGAUCAGUAGCGGGUCUGAGAGGAUGAUCCGCCACACUGGGACUGAGACACGGCCCAGACUCCUACGGGAGGCAGCAGUGGGGAAUUUUGGACAAUGGGCGCAAGCCUGAUCCAGCCAUGCCGCGUGUCUGAAGAAGGCCUUCGGGUUGUAAAGGACUUUUGUCAGGGAAGAAAAGGGCGGGGUUAAUACCCCUGUCUGAUGACGGUACCUGAAGAAUAAGCACCGGCUAACUACGUGCCAGCAGCCGCGGUAAUACGUAGGGUGCGAGCGUUAAUCGGAAUUACUGGGCGUAAAGCGGGCGCAGACGGUUACUUAAGCAGGAUGUGAAAUCCCCGGGCUCAACCUGGGAACUGCGUUCUGAACUGGGUGACUAGAGUGUGUCAGAGGGAGGUAGAAUUCCACGUGUAGCAGUGAAAUGCGUAGAGAUGUGGAGGAAUACCGAUGGCGAAGGCAGCCUCCUGGGAUAACACUGACGUUCAUGCCCGAAAGCGUGGGUAG